rnacentral:tRNA from 1 species
GAGAGGGGCACGAUUGCAUCGAAUUCUGCUAAAUUUCGCCACCUCAGUUUAACUCCGGGGCCCACUCG